UACGUAGGGGGCAAGCGUUGUCCGGAAUCAUUGGGCGUAAAGAGCGUGUAGGCGGCUAGAUAAGUCCGCUGUGAAAUCUCGAGGCUCAACUUCGAGCUGUCGGUGGAAACUGUCUGGCUAGAGUCCGGAAGAGGAGAGUGGAAUUCCUGGUGUAGCGGUGAAAUGCGCAGAUAUCAGGAGGAACACCCGUGGCGAAAGCGGCUCUCUGGGACGGUACUGACGCUGAGACGCGAAAGCGUGGGGAGCGAACAGG
rnacentral:rRNA from 1 species